AACUGGAGAGGACCACCACCAUGACUCCAGUGAUCUCUGUUGUCGUCUUCCUCUUGGUACGGUCUAUCCUCUGGGUGCAACAGGAACU